GGUCCUAUAGCUCAGUUGGUUAGAGCAUGGUGCUAAUGACUCCAAGUCCGUGAGUUCGACCCUCGUUGGCAUCA
rnacentral:tRNA from 3 species